GACGAACGCUGGCGGCGUGCUUAACAUAUGCAAGUGGAGCGACGAACCAGGGCUUGCCCUGGGGCAGAGCCGCGAACGGGUGAGUAACACGUGGGUAACGUGCCCCGAUGACUGGGACAACCCGGGGAAACCCGGGCUAAUACCGGAUGUGCCCCCUCACAUCAGUGAGGUGUGUAAAGGAAGCUUCGGCCUCCGCAUCGGGAUCGGCCCGCGGCCCAUUAGCUUGUUGGUGAGGUAACGGCUCACCAAGGCUGCGAUGGGUAGCUGGUCUGAGAGGACGAUCAGCCACACUGGGACUGAGACACGGCCCAGACUCCUACGGGAGGCAGCAGUGGGGAAUCUUGCGCAAUGCGCGAAAGCGUGACGCAGCAACGCCGCGUGGGGGAAGACGGCCUUCGGGUUGUAAACCCCUUUCAGUUGGGACGAAGGUCGGGCGGUUAACAGCCGUUCCGGCUGACGGUACCUUCACAAGAAGCCCCGGCUAACUACGUG
rnacentral:rRNA from 1 species